rnacentral:rRNA from 1 species
UGGGAAUUUUGGACAAUGGGGCAACCCUGAUCCAGCAAUGCCGCGUGUGUGAAAAGGCCUUCGGGUUGUAAAGCACUUUUGUCCGGAAAGAAAACGUCGUGGUUAAUACCCGUGGCGGCUGACGGUACCGGAAGAAUAAGCACCGGCUAACUACGUGCCAGCAGCCGCGGUAAUACGUAGGGUGCAAGCGUUAAUCGGGAUUACUGGGCGUAAAGCGUGCGCAGGCGGUCCGCUAAGACAGAUGCGAAAUCCCCGGGCUUAACCUGGGAACUGCAUUUGUGACUGGCGGGCUAGAGUAUGGCAGAGGGGGGUUAGAAUUCCACGUGUAGCAGUGAAAUGCGUAGAGAUGUGGAGGAAUACCGAUGGCGAAGGCAGCCCCCUGGGCCAAUACUGACGCUCAUGCACGAAAGCGUGGGGGAGCAAACAGGAUUAGAUACCCUGGUAGUCCACGCCCUAAACGAUGUCAACUAGUUGUGGGGAUUCAUUUCCUUAGUAACGUAGCUAACCGCGUGAAGUUGACCGCCUGGGGAGUAACGGUCGCAAGAUUUAAAAACUC